rnacentral:rRNA from 1 species
CAUGGCUCAGAUUGAACGCUGGCGGCAGGCCUAACACAUGCAAGUCGAGCGGUAGCACAGAAGAGCUUGCUCUUUGGGUGACGAGCGGCGGACGGGUGAGUAAUGUCUGGGAAACUGCCUGAUGGAGGGGGAUAACUACUGGAAACGGUAGCUAAUACCGCAUAACCUCGCAAGAGCAAAGAGGGGGACCUUCGGGCCUCUCGCCAUCAGAUGUGCCCAGAUGGGAUUAGCUAGUAGGUGAGGUAAUGGCUCACCUAGGCGACGAUCCCUAGCUGGUCUGAGAGGAUGACCAGCCACACUGGAACUGAGACACGGUCCAGACUCCUACGGGAGGCAGCAGUGGGGAAUAUUGCACAAUGGGCGCAAGCCUGAUGCAGCCAUGCCGCGUGUGUGAAGAAGGCCUUCGGGUUGUAAAGCACUUUCAGCGGGGAGGAAGGCGGUGAGGUUAAUAACCUCAUCGAUUGACGUUACCCGCAGAAGAAGCACCGGCUAACUCCGUGCCAGCAGCCGCGGUAAUACGGAGGGUGCAAGCGUUAAUCGGAAUGACUGGGCGUAAAGCGCACGCAGGCGGUCUGUUAAGUUGGAUGUGAAAUCCCCGGGCUUAACCUGGGAACUGCAUUCAAAACUGACAGGCUAGAGUCUUGUAGAGGGGGGUAGAAUUCCAGGUGUAGCGGUGAAAUGCGUAGAGAUCUGGAGGAAUACCGGUGGCGAAGGCGGCCCCCUGGACAAAGACUGACGUUCAGGUGCGAAAGCGUGGGGAGCAAACAGGAUUAGAUUCCUUGGUAGUCCACGCUGUAAACGAUGUCGAUUUGGAGGUUGUGCCCUUGAGGCGUGGCUUCCGGAGCUAACGCGUUAAAUCGACCGCCUGGGGAGUACGGCCGCAAGGUUAAAACUCAAAUGAAUUGACGGGGGCCCGCACAAGCGGUGGAGCAUGUGGUUUAAUUCGAUGCAACGCGAAGAACCUUACCUACUCUUGACAUCCAGAGAAUUUGCUAGAGAUAGCUUAGUGCCUUCGGGAACUCUGAGACAGGUGCUGCAUGGCUGUCGUCAGCUCGUGUUGUGAAAUGUUGGGUUAAGUCCCGCAACGAGCGCAACCCUUAUCCUUUGUUGCCAGCGAUUCGGUCGGGAACUCAAAGGAGACUGCCGGUGAUAAACCGGAGGAAGGUGGGGAUGACGUCAAGUCAUCAUGGCCCUUACGAGUAGGGCUACACACGUGCUACAAUGGCGUAUACAAAGAGAAGCGACCUCGCGAGAGCAAGCGGACCUCAUAAAGUACGUCGUAGUCCGGAUUGGAGUCUGCAACUCGACUCCAUGAAGUCGGAAUCGCUAGUAAUCGUAGAUCAGAAUGCUACGGUGAAUACGUUCCCGGGCCUUGUACACACCGCCCGUCACACCAUGGGAGUGGGUUGCAAAAGAAGUAGGUAGCUUAACCUUCGGGAGGGCGCUUACCACUUUGUGAUUCAUGACUGGGGUGAAGUCGUAACAAGGUAACCGUAGGGGAACCUGCGGCUGGAUCCC